AAUAGAUACCCUGGUAGUCCACGCCGUAAACGAUGAGUGCUAGGUGUUAGGGGGUUUCCGCCCCUUAGUGCUGCAGCUAACGCAUUAAGCACUCCGCCUGGGGAGUACGGUCGCAAGACUGAAACUCAAAGGAAUUGACGGGGGCCCGCACAAGCGGUGGAGCAUGUGGUUUAAUUCGAAGCAACGCGAAGAACCUUACCAGGUCUUGACAUCCCGCUGACCGCCAUGGAGACAUGGCUUUCCCUUCGGGGACAGCGGUGACAGGUGGUGCAUGGUUGUCGUCAGCUCGUGUCGUGAGAUGUUGGGUUAAGUCCCGCAACGAGCGCAACCCUUGUCCUUAGUUGCCAUCAUUCAGUUGGGCACUCUAAGGAGACUGCCGUACAAAUACGGAGGAAGGUGGGGAUGACGUCAAAUCAUCAUGCCCCUUAUGACCUGGGCUACACACGUGCUACAAUGGGUGGUACAAAGGGCGGCAAACCCGCGAGGGGGAGCGAAUCCCAAAAAGCCACUCUCGGUUCGGAUUGCAGGCUGCAACUCG
rnacentral:rRNA from 1 species